rnacentral:misc_RNA from 1 species
GUUCCUUCACCCCUCCCUCAUUUUUUUUCUCUCUGCGUCCUCGUCGACUCGGUUCGUCUUCGGUGAGUGCGGUGAUGUACCGUGCCCCUAAAGCACUGACAGCGGCACUGCUGCCGCUCACCUCUUUAACCUUACAAUACCGGAGAACAUCUGCCGUCGUCCGCCAGGGAGCAUCGACGACUGCCGACACUGUGCCACCGCCAGCGGAGGGGGCCGCCUCCAGCGCCUCUGCCUCUCCUCCAAUGUCAGCACCGGCUUCCCACGCUGCCGCCGCCGCCGAGAGCGAGGCGCCGAGGAGCAAAGAGCGGAGGCGGAAGGGGCGCGAUCGGGCCCCUGCCUCAUCCGUUGUCCCCGCCACUCUUCAAGCCUCGAGAAGCCAGCGCGCCGGAGUCGCGACCAACACCGCACCGGCUGGUGCCUCUCUUCCACCGCCGCGUACCAUUCUUGACUUCCCGAACGCGUAUCAGCCAUUCGACGCCGUCACGCCGCUCGCGGAGUUCCGAGAAAAGUAUGACUACAUCAGAGCCGAUCAGCGGUGCAGCGAGUCACCUAGUGUGCGCGUCGGGGGCCGCAUCGUGAGCAUCCGCGACAUGGGUGGUAUUCUUUUCAUCACCAUCCGCAGCGGCGAAGCCCAACUGCAGGUGCUGCGGCAGGUGAACGAGUCCUUCACCAAGGCUGACCUGCGUGCCUUUGCUAGUACACUGCACACGGGCGACAUCCUCGGUGCCACCGGCGUGCCGGGUCGCACCGCGAAAGGAGAGCUCUCCCUCUACGCGACGGAGGCCUCCAUCUUGGCACCGUACGUCUGCACAGACCAGGCGCUGUGCCCCGACCUGAAGGGCUUCGUGCCGCUCACGGACACCGGCAUCAAAUACCGCUACCGCUUUGUCGACAUGAUGUCCAGCCCGUCCGUCGUGCAGCAUUUCCGCAAGCGCCACGCCAUCACGCGCGCUCUGCGCGACUUUCUCGACGCGCGCAGCUUCGUCGAGGUGGAGACGCCGGUGCUGCACUCCGUCGCCUCAGGUGCCAACGCGAAGCCGUUUGUCACGCACCACAACGCCAACGACGCGGAUCUCUUCCUUCGGGUGGCCCCAGAGCUUCACCUGAAACAGUGCGUUGUGGGCGGCAUGGAGCGCGUGUACGAGAUCGGCCGCGUCUUCCGGAACGAGGACGCCGACCGCAGCCACAACCCCGAAUUCACCACGUGCGAGUUCUACGCCGCCUAUCACACCUACAAGGAUCUGAUGACCAUGACGGAAGAGAUCCUGCGCCACUUGGCGCUCGCGGCGAACGGCACCACCAAAAUCACUGUGACGUCGUGCGUGGAAAAGAAGCCGGUGGAAAUCGACCUUGCGCAGCCGUUUCGCCGCGUCAACGCGUACGACGCAGUGCAGGAGGCGGCCGGCGUCGAGCUGCCGCCCCCGACAGAGCUGAGUACGCCGCGUGGACUGGCAUACAUGUCUGCCAUCAUGCUCCGCUACAACAUCCCGCUGCCGUCGGUGCGCACGGCUGCCAAGAUGUUCGACAAGCUCAUCGACUACUUCAUCACUGAUCGCGUGGUGGAGCCGACGUUCGUGACGGACCAUCCGCUGUUCAUGAGCCCGCUGGCGAUGGAGCAGCGCACGCGGCCGGGGCUGUCGGCUCGUUUCGAGCUAUUCAUCAAUGGCACCGAGUACUGCAACGCGUACAGCGAGCUGAAUGACCCGCAGGAGCAGUACUACCGCUUUCAGCAGCAGCUGCUGGACAGGCAAACCGGCGACGACGAGGCGAUGGCGCUGGACGAAACGUUUCUCAAGGCGCUGCAGGUCGGGCUGCCCCCAACGGCGGGGUGGGGGAUGGGGAUCGACCGCGUCGCCAUGCUCCUCAACGGGUCCUCCACCAUCCGCGAGGACAUUUUGUUUCCGCUGCUCCGCCACGACGCCACGUCGCACGAUGCAAAACGUCGGUGUAAGACGGCCUCUUUUUUCGGCUUCAACCACAACAUGACGCUCUUCUGUCUCAACGCGCUCGAAGAGGAGAUGCUGAAGCGCGCCGCUCCGACGGAGUCGCUCGAGAAGAUUCGCCAGCUGCGCCAAUGCCUGUCCACGAUGCAGCAGCGCGACAUGGUGACGUACGCGCCCGAGGAUGGCGCACCGCGAGGGUGGCGCUAUGAGGCAACCAUGGCCGUGCUCCGCCUUUUCUGCUACCGCGGAAAGUACUGAGCUGCUAAGGGCAGAGCGGGUGGGUGGGUGGUAUGGCGUGAGCGCUGCUUCGUUACGGCAUUGCCCGCGCGGCGAACAAAGAAAGUGAAACAACUGCAGCUCCUCUGCUCACGUGCGCGUCUGCCUGUGCGCGCGCGCCGCCUCGUAUUCUGUUGCGCGCUCGCUUAUAGCAUAAUUAGGUGACUGCACUUCUCCAAGCAUCUGCCGUCUGUGUGCGUGCGCAUGCGCGAAUGCGAGAGCUGCAUCGCAUGGCGUGUGUGUGGGCGCUGACCGCGUCGUGGUUCUGUUCCAGCGUCGUCUCCGACGUCGCACGCCGGCCCUUCUUUUUCGCUGCAUGCGCCCCAUGCGUCUCUUCUCCCUCUCUGUGCUCCCCUCCGCUAUUUUGCUCUGCCUUGUGCCGCACCGUACUUCGUUCUCCUGCUGAUAUCUGUGUCGCCGCGAGUCUCUGCCGUGUGCCUGUCUCCAG